rnacentral:piRNA from 1 species
UUUAUAGUUUGUCUACUUUCU